rnacentral:rRNA from 1 species
GGUCAAGUGAAGAAGCGCAUACGGUGGAUGCCUUGGCAGUCAGAGGCGAUGAAAGACGUGGUAGCCUGCGAAAAGCUUCGGGGAGUCGGCAAACAGACUUUGAUCCGGAGAUCUCUGAAUGGGGGAACCCACCUAGGAUAACCUAGGUAUCUUGUACUGAAUCCAUAGGUGCAAGAGGCGAACCAGGGGAACUGAAACAUCUAAGUACCCUGAGGAAAAGAAAUCAACCGAGAUUCCCUUAGUAGUGGCGAGCGAACGGGGAUUAGCCCUUAAGCUUCAUUGAUUUUAGCGGAACGCUCUGGAAAGUGCGGCCAUAGUGGGUGAUAGCCCCGUACGCGAAAGGAUCUUUGAAGUGAAAUCGAGUAGGACGGAGCACGAGAAACUUUGUCUGAACAUGGGGGGACCAUCCUCCAAGGCUAAAUACUACUGACUGACCGAUAGUGAACCAGUACCGUGAGGGAAAGGCGAAAAGAACCCCGGAGAGGGGAGUGAAAUAGAACCUGAAACCGUAUGCGUACAAGCAGUGGGAGCCUACUUGUUAGGUGACUGCGUACCUUUUGUAUAAUGGGUCAGCGACUUAUAUUCAGUGGCAAGCUUAACCGUAUAGGGUAGGCGUAGCGAAAGCGAGUCUUAAUAGGGCGUUUAGUCGCUGGGUAUAGACCCGAAACCGGGCGAUCUAUCCAUGAGCAGGUUGAAGGUUAGGUAACACUGACUGGAGGACCGAACCCACUCCCGUUGAAAAGGUAGGGGAUGACUUGUGGAUCGGAGUGAAAGGCUAAUCAAGCUCGGAGAUAGCUGGUUCUCCUCGAAAGCUAUUUAGGUAGCGCCUCAUGUAUCACUCUGGGGGGUAGAGCACUGUUUCGGCUAGGGGGUCAUCCCGACUUACCAAACCGAUGCAAACUCCGAAUACCCAGAAGUGCCGAGCAUGGGAGACACACGGCGGGUGCUAACGUCCGUCGUGAAAAGGGAAACAACCCAGACCGCCAGCUAAGGUCCCAAAGUUGUGGUUAAGUGGUAAACGAUGUGGGAAGGCUUAGACAGCUAGGAGGUUGGCUUAGAAGCAGCCAUCCUUUAAAGAAAGCGUAAUAGCUCACUAGUCGAGUCGGCCUGCGCGGAAGAUGUAACGGGGCUCAAACCACACACCGAAGCUGCGGGUGUCACGUAAGUGACGCGGUAGAGGAGCGUUCUGUAAGCCUGUGAAGGUGAGUUGAGAAGCUUGCUGGAGGUAUCAGAAGUGCGAAUGCUGACAUGAGUAACGACAAUGGGUGUGAAAAACACCCACGCCGAAAGACCAAGGGUUCCUGCGCAACGUUAAUCGACGCAGGGUUAGUCGGUUCCUAAGGCGAGGCUGAAAAGCGUAGUCGAUGGGAAACAGGUUAAUAUUCCUGUACUUCUGGUUACUGCGAUGGAGGGACGGAGAAGGCUAGGCCAGCUUGGCGUUGGUUGUCCAAGUUUAAGGUGGUAGGCUGAAAUCUUAGGUAAAUCCGGGGUUUCAAGGCCGAGAGCUGAUGACGAGUCGUCUUUUAGAUGACGAAGUGGUUGAUGCCAUGCUUCCAAGAAAAGCUUCUAAGCUUCAGGUAACCAGGAACCGUACCCCAAACCGACACAGGUGGUCGGGUAGAGAAUACCAAGGCGCUUGAGAGAACUCGGGUGAAGGAACUAGGCAAAAUGGCACCGUAACUUCGGGAGAAGGUGCGCCGGCUAGGGUGAAGGAUUUACUCCGUAAGCUCUGGCUGGUCGAAGAUACCAGGCCGCUGCGACUGUUUAUUAAAAACACAGCACUCUGCAAACACGAAAGUGGACGUAUAGGGUGUGACGCCUGCCCGGUGCCGGAAGGUUAAUUGAUGGGGUUAGCGCAAGCGAAGCUCUUGAUCGAAGCCCCGGUAAACGGCGGCCGUAACUAUAACGGUCCUAAGGUAGCGAAAUUCCUUGUCGGGUAAGUUCCGACCUGCACGAAUGGCGUAACGAUGGCGGCGCUGUCUCCACCCGAGACUCAGUGAAAUUGAAAUCGCUGUGAAGAUGCAGUGUAUCCGCGGCUAGACGGAAAGACCCCGUGAACCUUUACUGUAGCUUUGCACUGGACUUUGAGCCUGCUUGUGUAGGAUAGGUGGGAGGCUUUGAAGCGUGGACGCCAGUUCGCGUGGAGCCAUCCUUGAAAUACCACCCUGGCAUGCUUGAGGUUCUAACUCUGGUCCGUGAUCCGGAUCGAGGACAGUGUAUGGUGGGCAGUUUGACUGGGGCGGUCUCCUCCUAAAGAGUAACGGAGGAGUACGAAGGUGCGCUCAGACCGGUCGGAAAUCGGUCGCAGAGUAUAAAGGCAAAAGCGCGCUUGACUGCGAGACAGACACGUCGAGCAGGUACGAAAGUAGGUCUUAGUGAUCCGGUGGUUCUGUAUGGAAGGGCCAUCGCUCAACGGAUAAAAGGUACUCCGGGGAUAACAGGCUGAUACCGCCCAAGAGUUCAUAUCGACGGCGGUGUUUGGCACCUCGAUGUCGGCUCAUCACAUCCUGGGGCUGAAGCCGGUCCCAAGGGUAUGGCUGUUCGCCAUUUAAAGUGGUACGCGAGCUGGGUUUAGAACGUCGUGAGACAGUUCGGUCCCUAUCUGCCGUGGACGUUUGAGAUUUGAGAGGGGCUGCUCCUAGUACGAGAGGACCGGAGUGGACGAACCUCUGGUGUUCCGGUUGUCACGCCAGUGGCAUUGCCGGGUAGCUAUGUUCGGAAAAGAUAACCGCUGAAAGCAUCUAAGCGGGAAACUUGCCUCAAGAUGAGAUCUCACUGGGAACUUGAUUCCCCUGAAGGGCCGUCGAAGACUACGACGUUGAUAGGCUGGGUGUGUAAGCGUUGUGAGGCGUUGAGCUAACCAGU